AUCCUACUGACGAGUCCCUAAUAGAACGAGAUGCGCGUCUUAGAU
rnacentral:hammerhead_ribozyme from 1 species